rnacentral:rRNA from 1 species
UGCACGUCGAACGGGAUAGAUGUAGCAAUAUUUCUUGAGAGUGGCGCAGGGGUGCGUAACGAGGUGCAACCUACCUAUGACCGGGGGAUAGCCCGGACAAAUCCGGAUUAAUACCCCCUGGUAACAUGAUAUGGCGACAUAUUAUGUUUAGAGUUCCGGCGGUCAAAGAUGGACAUGCGUGCCAUUAGCUAGUUGGUGAGGUAACGGCUCACCAAGGCGACGAUGGCUAGGGGUUCUGAGAGGAUUAUCCCCCACACUGGUACUGAGACACGGACCAGACUCCUACGGGAGGCAGCAGUAAGGAAUAUUGGGCAAUGGACGCAAGUCUGACCCAGCCAUGCCGCGUGCAGGAAGACGGCCUUAUGGGUUGUAAACUGCUUUUGUCAGGGAAUAAACCCUUGGAUUAAUCCAGGGCUGAAUGUACCUGAAGAAUAAGCAUCGGCUAACUCCGUGCCAGCAGCCGCGGUAAUACGGAGGAUGCGAGCGUUAUCCGGAUUCAUUGGGUUUAAAGGGUGCGCAGGCGGGCAAUUAAGUCAGGGGUGAAAUACUACGGCUCAACCGUGGAACUGCCUUUGAUACUGAUUGUCUUGAAUUUAGCUGAAGUGGGCGGAAUGUAGCAUGUAGCGGUGAAAUGCAUAGAUAUGCUACAGAACACCGAUAGCGAAGGCAGCUCACUAAGUUAAUAUUGACGCUCAUGCACGAAAGCGUGGGGAUCAAACAGGAUUAGAUACCCUGGUAGUCCACGCUGUAAACGAUGAUCACUCGUUGUUGGCGAUACACAGUCAGCGGCUAAGCGAAAGUGAUAAGUGAUCCACCUGGGGAGUACGAUCGCAAGGUUGAAACUCAAAGGGAUUGACGGGGGCCCGCACAAGCGGUGGAGCAUGUGGUUUAAUUCGAUGAUACGCGAGGAAACCUUACCUGGGCUCAAACGCAGGAUGACGUACUGUGAAAGCGGUAUUUUCUCGGACAUUCUGCGAGUGCUGCAUGGUGUCGUCAGCUCGUGCCGUGAGGUGUCGGGUAAGUCCAUAACGAGCGCAACCCC